CCCUUAGAUGUUCUGGGCGGCCCGCGCACUACAAUGGCGUGUGCAGCGAGUGCCGAAGUAGAGUUUUCCGAGGUAUUCUUGCAAUGCUCGUUUUGAUGGGGAUAGACCCUUGCAACUGUUGGUUUUGAACGAGGAAUUCCUUGUAAGCAUGGUUUAUCAUCCGACGCUGAAUGCGUCCCUGCCCUUUGUACACACCGCCCGUCGCUACUGCCAACUGAGAUGGGUCCUGAAUUGUUAGGAACGCCCGUCAAGGGGCCUACCCGGUCCCUAGUGCGGUGACGAGAAUAACUGUAAAUGGCAUAUCUUGGAGGGAGUAAAAGUCGUAACA
rnacentral:rRNA from 1 species